CCCAUUUAUUCCACCAACUAAUGUCCUCGAUUUCUUCCUCUUUUGCCUCAUCUUCUUCUUCAUGCGUCCUGCAAAAUUAAGCUUGCUCCGGUCAACAUUGAACUUGCUCUGAUGAUCGUCGAACAUGCUCCAUUCACCAUCGGACUUCCUUGGAGCUUUGUUAAGAUAGCAGUUCCUCUCCACAUGACCGAAGCAAGAGCAGAUUUCACAAUUUGGAGGGGUCGAAAGGACUCUAAUCUUAAGGUGCAUGAGAUUUUCCAACCCUUCUCUAAUCACCACUACCGGAAUUGUGUGCGGAAUAAAUUUCAAAAAAUCCACCAUGAUACAAGCUCGUAGUGCAUGCCCCCAUGGUGGAUGAACAUAUUCAACCUCUAAUGGGGUGCCCAGAGUGCUAAGUAUAGCCGAGAUGGCAUCCCUAGUCCACAUAGUUUCAACCAUUCCUGUGAUCAAGACCCAUUGCGGCACUCUACCAAAGUUAUCACCAUGUAAUACCUCCGAGGGUCUCUUGAGACAAUUAUUGGUUUGUCAUCAAUGAAUGAAUGCCCAAGAUCGAUCCGCAACUUUUAGGAAAUCUGGAACAGUAGUGAAGUGAAUACUGAAAGUGUCAUCCAUGUAGAGAUUGACUCUGAAAUCAGAUUGAAUAUCCCAUUUAUUCUUUAUUUAACAAUGCCGUCGACGCACGGAUGGGCUCUCUCCUAUGAUCCUGGUCAAUAGGGACAAAUACUCCUUAGUAGGUAGGGAAUUAUCCUCAUAGAUGAGAGCAUGCUUUAGGCUGAAUCUGAGCUUAGGAGCAAUGAAAUUCAAAGCUUUGUUGUCACCAAUCUCAGGGGAGGCUAUCUUCCACUUCCAGGCCAGAGCAGAAAAAAUAUUAUCCAUGAUCCUAAGAAUGAAACCACUGGGAAGAAACACAAAUUAAGGCCAGGGAGGGAUUCGCCGGAAUUUUAUCCCUCCAAGUAUACCGACUUGAGGGGAUAAGCAACACACCAAUAGAGGUGGUCGGAACUUCCAGUGAAGUAUCGUCACUAUCGUGUAUUUUCGGUGGAUGCCAGAGAGUACAAAGAAACUCUCAAGCAGGGGGAAGGAAAGCUAGUGAGAUCUUCCCUACCAAAUUUCGUCCACUUGAUAGGUCACACCUCAAAGAGAUGAGGAGGACCACUAGCCUUGGAAGGAUGGGAUUCCGGUUAUCAUCGGGGAAGAGGGUCACACAUGGCUCUCACAAGGGAAACUCUGUAAACCUGAUUUAGUAUUCCUUGGCCCAACCUUGUCGACUUUACUUACGAUUCUUAUUCCCGAUGCAUUCAGUGAUUCCUCCCAAUUUGCCUAUGGAAGAACCGGAUCUCCACAGGACCAGACUAUGGGUUUGCAAUCUAAACAUGUGUUAAUUAACCCCCUAUCUGAAAUGAGUGAUUUCAAAAAGUGUAAGUCUAUAGAGUCGUUCAUGGUGAUCUCGUUGAGGGCUCUCAUUAAUGUAUAUUUUCUAGAUCCAUUGCACCAAGAUGGAGUCAUUUUUCUACCAGAAGUUUGAGACAUUUUAAAUGUUAACUGGAGUGGUGAUUAUAGUAAGAUCCCUGGCCCUUAAAACACCCUUUUAAUGUUAACUACAGUGAUGAUUAUGGUAAGAUCCCUGACCUCUGUCUUAGGGAGUACCAUUUGAGACCCAGGAGAUUCCUUUCCUUUGUCUCAUAUGAAGAAGUUAUAGGUAAAUUUUUUUCUUUCUUCAUUAUGGAGGAGGAGAGAGCUAUACCCUAGGACCAAUAUGUGAAUUUACCAACUAUGAUCUGAUUGACUAGCUAGAUUCUACCCCCAUAGGAGAGACAUUUUCCAUCCAACAUUGUGAUAGGAAAAAUCCUAAAAUCGAACUGAGGAAAAAAAGAAAACACAAAUUUACGUAGUUCAGCAAUGUGCCUACGUCCACGGGAUACCUCCGCUAUUCUUCUCUUCCUCACAACAGAAUAGAAGCAUUACAAGAUAUUUAUAAUGGUGAUUAGGGUUGCCAAUUUCUGUUUGUAACUCCUAAUCAUCAUUACAAGGCCCAUUUAACAUAGAAUUAAACUUAUUUAAUUCUAAUGGAUCGUAAAGGCCUACAAUUAUAAUUCUAAUUACAAUUAAACUAGCAGCUCUAGUGGAGAAAACCGGAUGCCUUCCUAAGAGUCUCCACACUUCUAAUACUAACACAUUGGUUAUAAGAUUUCUUCCUCCCAAUGACAGGAAGUUCUAGGUAUGUGAUGGAGAGGUUUUUACUGUAAAGCCUAGAAUAUUGUGGACUGAUUGGUCUUUUCCACAGAUAUUAGAGAAAGUUGAUGAGCUCUUUCUAUUGUUGACUUCAAGUCCUGAGAUAUGGAUGAAAGACUCUAAGAGAGCUUUGAUGGAAUUAAGAAACUUGAGGUUGACCUUUGAGAAAAUAAGAACAUCAUCAGCAUAUAUCAAGUGUGUAAUGGAGGCAGCUCCAUUCACUUGAUAGGUAUCCAUCUUAGGUCCCUCACUUCCCUCUCUAUCAACGUAAUUAGGACAUUCAUCACCAUGUCAAAUAAGUUGGAAAAGAUAGAUAAGAUCAGGUCUCCUUGAUUCCUCUGAAGUUUUAGAGUUUUUGAAGGGGAGGGUCCUUCAAUUAAGAUAGAUAAUGUAGCAAAGGAGAUACAAUUCCGGAUUAUUUUGCAAAAUAGAAGGGAGAAGCCAUACCUCUAGGAUUGGAGAUGAUGGCAUCCCAUCUGAUAGUAUCAAAGGCUUUUCUGAAGUCAAUGCUCAAGCAACACUUUUUUAGAGUUAUCCUACUACCAAAUCCAUAGACCAUCACAUCUGCAGUACUAUUUGAGUUAUGUCUACCAUCAAUGAAGGUUUUUUGGUUAGGGGAAAUGAGUUGACAAGACAUCUUAGUAUCUUACUAAUUCUGACAGCUAAAAGUUUAGUUAGGACUUAGGAGUUUAUAUAUCAGAGUGACAUAAGAUAUGGGCCUAAAGUAGGAGGAUAUGGUUGGAAGAUUUUAGAAUGGGUUUUCCCCUAAAAAAUUAUGUGUCACGUUACAUAAUAACGCUUUUAAGCCAUCUGGCCCUGGGGAUUUGCCAGAGUUGAAAGAAAAUAAGGCACUUCUAACCUCCUCUUUCAAAAGUACCUAAGUCAACCACUCAUUUAUGGGUUAUGAGACAACUCUUGGGAUGGUGAAGGAAUGGCAGGGGGCUGAUACAACUUACAAGGGCACUGAAUAGGUUACUAAAGUAUCUUGUACUGUUUGCUUCUAAUUGUGCUCUAGUUGUAGUUGGAUUCCCUUCAGUGUUUAUUACAUUAAGGAUAGAGUUCUUAGGUUUUCUCAACCUAGUGGGCAAUGCUAAAGAAUCUUGUAUUCUUGUCCCAUAGGUUAAGUCGUGAAUCCUUGCUCUUUUGUUUGAGGUCUGCCUCCUCCUUACACAUGGGGUCCUUCAAUUUAUUUCUUAGAAAGAGUGAGAGAAUGUUUUAUUUUGUAGGUGAAUAGAAAGGGGAUUACUCUCAAGGUUCCUGACAUAGAUAUUUAGGUCCAUAGUUUUAAAAGCGGUAAAGCGCUCCCAUUUUCCAGGGAGCGCUUUUUUAGCUUUGAGCGCUUUAGCGUGCUUAAAGCUAAAAAAGCAGUAGUGGCAUUUUCGUAAAUAUUUGCAUAUACCCCUGUAUUAUUUUUUUUCAAAUCCUAUAAAUAUUAUUUUUUUUCAAAUAUAUACCCCUGUUAUUACACGUUUACUGUAAACGUGUCAUUUAUUACACAUAGAUGAACAACAUCAGUUUGCGGUGUAAAUUUGUUGUGGAAUUUACAAACUCACUGAGCUCAUCAGCUUCUACACUGAGCCAAUCCGGACAUCUUCAUCUCCUUCAGCAACAGCUUUCUCUCUGUGUUAUCAUGCUUCAACACUCUUAGAAUUGCUGAUAAGAUCUGUUGCUUCUGAUCUUUGUCCUUCCUAAACCCUGCAACAUCUUCUGAUACCUUCUUCACUAUUUUGAUGGCCUCAUUUUUCUUCUGAAGUGCUUCAUCUAGUUCAAGUUUCAUGCAAAACCUGAUGACCCGACCUGCCAACCCGACCCACUAACACACUAGAAAAAAGCGAUUGGAAAAGCGCUCAUGAAGAAGCGCUUUUCCUCUUUAAGCUAUUAAAGCGGCGCUUUAAAAACUAUGUUUAGGUCAAUUAUGGUAUGAGCUACUAAUUUAUCUGAAUGUUUAAAGUUUAAACAAAAUUUUAACCUUCUUGAGUAUUUUGUUGCAACUUCAAAGUUCAGUGCCUCUAAAAAGUUUUGAGAGACAAGUCCUUAUCAAAUCUAUGUAUGAGGUGUCAUCAAGGCAUGAAUUAUACAAUCUAAAAGGUUUUAAGACUUUUGCCCCUUUUUCCAUUUGUGAAGUGGUUAUCACUAAACCCAUUACGAAACUCAACUAUUGCACAAUAGCAAAGGCUCUAUUCAACAAAGUUAACAAAGGCUCUAUUCCAGCUUAGUUUGUGUGAAAUUUGGGCCAGGUAAUUUAUUAAUCAAGGUGAAUUCUCCACCAAUGGAGACUAAUUCAUGGAGGUGUACCAUAUUGGUUGUUAGAGUGAAUUCAGCAAGACCACCAUGGUUAUAGAAGACAUGUUCCCAUUCUCUCCUUAGGAGAUCUGAUCUCAUUAAAGUCCCCUCCAACAGCCAAGGAGUUGUGGAGAUGAGACCAAUUUAUUGGAGGAGGUUCCAAAGGAAUCCUCUACCUACCCUGGAAUUUUCCCUAUAUAUAGGAGUAAAAUACAUUAACAACCAUUUUAUGUUUAUUAACUUUAGAAGGAUGUACUGAGGGUGGGAGAUUAAUAUGAGGGGUCAUAAUUGCUAUAGGAAUCCAUCCCAGUCUGAACCAAAUACAUCCCUGAUUGACUUGGUCUUUUGUGGCUUAAUUUUUGUUACCAGUAUUGAGAAAACAUCUAUGGAUUUUGAUCUCACUAAUUCCUUUAUAUCCACAUGGGAUUGAAAGAAAUAUAAACCCCUAAUGUUCCAAAUUAGGAAAGUCGUUAGGAGGGUUGGGCUUUCCUUAUGAAGAGGGCACUAGGGUCUCUAUUAUCCAGUGCGGAAUUAUCUGCACCUAUCAUAAAUUGGGCUUCCUAAGCCUGAUAAUGUAUCUCCUUUGAGAUCUACUUAUUUGAUCCCUAAAAUUUGUUGUGUCAGUUACCCAACAUGUGUUCAUAAUUAUUCUAAGUGAUAACGAUGGAAGAGCAACCCUAGGUUUGUUUGAUAUUGGUUUGCAUUCUGGUUGUCUUCCCUUCUUUUUAUUGGUCUCCUACAUCCCUGCCUCUGAUGACUUGCAUUUCUCUGUGUGUGAUUCAAGGUUCCAGAUGCGCCUCUGCGCGAUGUGCCACCACCUAGAGCACUUGAGCAUAUGCGCGCAGAUGCGUCAGUGCAUUUUCGUAAAUAUAUAUAAAACUAAAGGAAAUUCAUAUAUUUUUUUAUAUAUCUAAACUAUAUCAAUUAAAUUUUUUAGUUAAAAAUAUAUUGGAUAGAAAAUUUAUUAUAAUACAUAUAUUUAUUAAUUAUCAUAACACCCUAUAAUUCAUUGUAACACCAAGGUUUAAAAACCGAUAGGGGUAUUUUCGUAAUAAUAUAACUCUUUAAAUGGCUAGGGUUUCUUUAAACUUAUAAAAGAUAGGCUUUUAUAAAAAUAAAAUAAUAAAUAACCCAAGAGGAGCUUAUAUUAAGAAUAAUAUAGCUCUUUUCAUGGACCAAUGUAUUUAUAAGGUCUUAAAAUAUUUUUUUUUUUUGCCUUUGUUUAAAUAACAACAAAACCCUGUUUUAAGUUAUUUAAACAACUUAAAACAGGCCUGGAUCCGGGUCGAAUUCUCCCAGUAGGGUCGCACCUGCGCAUAUGCGCGCGCACCCGGAACCUUGGUGUGAUUCAUUGUUGUUCAACCAUUGGAGCUCUCUAUCAUGUGGUCCUAAAGUGCAGAUCUUGUGUGUAAUUCCAUACUUCUGAAAUGCUUCCAUAUUUUGGUCACUUCAGCCAUUCCUGCAAUGCUUAUUUCAGCGGGUUUCACAAUAAUUCCACUUAGCUAAUCACUACGCCUCAAUCUACCUGAACUAAUGAGUUGGACAGAAAUAAGAUCUAUACAAGGGAGAGAAAUUGUACUGUGCUAUCUCAAUGAGCUUUGUAGAUGGAAAUUGUGAUAAGGGUGGGUGGAAAAGACACGGGUAUGGAUAUUUUUCCAUCUUUUCAUUGUUUUCUCAUGUUUCUCCGUGAAAAACCCACCCACCAGUUCAACUUCCUUCUUUUUUCAGGCUCUAAAUCUAAUUUGGCCAAACGAAAACCUAAUAUUCACCUUUGCAAUGUUUACCUUUCAACUUUGAGGAUGGUACUCCAGUGAGAGGAGCCUCGUCGAAGCUAUCUUCGUUGGGGGGAACUUGGAGAUUCAAAAAAUCACCAUGUUUUAUUUUCUAGUUAUGCUCAUCCUCAAACUAGCAUGUGGGGUUUGUACCACAUGAAUCCAUAUUGUAGAAUUUAGGAGUUAGGACUUUUGUAAUUAUGAGCAAAAUCUUCCUUGUAUACUUACAGUUGAAGUAUAGGUGCCCCAGGGUUUCCUCCUCUCUUGCUAACAGUAGACACGAACUUUAGGUACAUUCCAUAAAUUCCCCAUAUCUCCAGUUUUAAAAAAUUGUUGAAAAAUACCAUUUUAUUCUCCAUAAAAGUACUAAAAAAUAGUUACAACUUUUGACCAUAUACCCAGUACCCUUAGCGAGAGGGACUAAAUGUCCUUUCAAUUGUAGUCAUUCUGUAAAGGAGAAGUUGGUCUUCAGUACUGCCGUGUAAUUGAUUCUAUAGUCCACACAGUAUAAUGAGGUUUUUCUUGAAUAGAAGAUCCCUCCACAUUGAUGAGUGUGUUCCUUAGCUUAAUACAGUCAGCUAGUAUAAUACUCUCAAGAUUACAGAAUUUUUCUUUUCACAAUUGUAACAUUGUUUUCUACUUUCCUGGCAAGAAAUCCCUCACCACUAGGCCUUCCUCAACAUUGGGUAGAAUCAUUUCCACCCAUGAUAUAGAUUUCCUUCCCCUCCAAAUGAAAUUAUAUGCUAACGUUUGAACCUUCUUAAUAAUUGAUUUGGGAAUGGUAGUAUCUUGUGCUCAAUAUGAAAACUUUCUAACGAUUAUCUAAUUAACCAAUUUGACUCCACCACUAUAGAAUAAACACCUACCACUACAUCUUGAGAGCAUUUUCUCUAUGGAUUCAAUUGAUUUCCAAUACUGUGACUAAAUAUUUUCUUCCUCUUUGAUAUGGAACUUUGAGGAAUUAGGAAAGGUUCGUUUUCCAUACAUGGAAAAUAUUGCUAAGCACUUCUCUCAUCUAAGAGGAUCUCUCCAAUGGAGGUGCUGGAAAACCAUUCCCAUCCUCUAAAAGCUUAGCUCUAUCUCAUAUUACUGGCCGUUCCCAUUCCAGAAUGAGAAAGAACAGUCGCAACAUAUUUGAUGUGUUCUAGAGGAACAUAUGAGAAAAAAGAGGGAUUGUGAAAGUAAUUAAUAUAUUAGUGAUACUUAUGACUUAAAUCUGAUUUCAGUUAAAGUAUUUUUCCCACUGCUAAUACUUGUAAAGCCCUCCAUUCCUUGCAAAUCAUGUGUCACUUGGCUCAUUUGAUGGGAGAGGAACCAUAGCCUCAAAUUGAAUGAGUCAAUGGAUUGGGAGAGGAACCAUAUGUAAUUGUUUGUUGUCAAUAUAAGUGUCAUCUCAGAACAGAACUACACCAGAACCCGAAGAAGACAUCAGAAUUGGAAAUUACAUAGAAGCAGUUGAAAGAUUUAAACCUACAGGAAAGUUGUUGGGAGAGUACAUUGGGAAACCCUAGGAUCAAUCUCAUGGCACAUCUGGUCAGAAAGGAAUUGGAAGUUGAAACAACACACACUAUGCAUUGUUGGUACAGGGGACUUACCCUUGUGUCUGAUAAUCGAAGUGAUCAGUGGAUUGCUGGUAUUUCUCACGCAAGAAAACAAGAGAAACGCAACUAGUGUACUUGCCUUGAUUAGAAGGAUUGACAUGAACACCUAAUGUAUCAUGUAUCUAAAUGUAAAAUAGUUUAUAUAUUUAAUACAAAAUUUUAUUAUAAAAAUAAACAGAAGAACAAAAUUCAUAUAAAAGUAUAAAACUUGGCUUUAAAUAAAAACAGUGAAGAAAAUAGAAAUAUAAUUCAGAAAAAAACAAUGAGAUUGGUGAAAUAACACUAAUUUUAAAUAAAUAGAAGAACAUGUAUUUUAAAUUUCAGACAAAUAAAUUGGAGAAAAGUAGAAAACUCAUUUACAAAUGACAUUGAUAAAACCAGUUAAGCCACAAUAAAAAAACAAUUGUUAUUAUUUUUGCAUGCUUGAUUGAUGGAAUUGUUUGUCACUUUGUCCAUUUUAAAUAUUACUUCUGAAAAUGUAAUGAUAUAAUACCAUGAAGGCGACUUGAUAUGUGACCCUUGUUGACAGGAAAACAGCUAUCAGCAAGAGUCUGCAUUCAAAAUUAAGAAUUAUUUCUUUUAUAAAAUAUUGGAGAUUGAAAACCAUCAUCAGAAACUCCUAAAUGAGAUAUACGGCAAUUUUGGAAUUUUGUACGAAGAAGAAAAGUUAAAGAG
rnacentral:lncRNA from 1 species